AGGUGACAGUGGGAGCAUAAACUAGCAUAAUCUCUUUGGGGCGCAGCAGGGAAAUACACAGCAAAUAUAAAAUACAUUGUUUGGCAAUUAUUGUACCUGGAAUUCAUGUAACAGUUGUAUCUGCACAUUUGCAUAAAGUACCAUGGGUUUUAAGAAGUUCAUCACAGCAGAAGGCCAGAAAAAACGCGAAUACACCUCAGUUGGUGACUCCUAAGUCAGUUACGGUACUAGGACCCUAUACGGCCAUUUCAGAAGGAAGGGUGGUUCAGAAAAUCACCCCGUAAAAACUCCAUGUAGUUGAGGGGCCAGGUCGUCACUUCAUGCUAGAAUCGUGAGUAAAAGAAAGGGGACAAGAUAGUCACACUUUCUCAAAGUAACGAGCCGGAUCAUUAAUGCUAUGCCUGCUACUUCAACGUCCUCCAAGGCGGCUUCGCGGCGGAGCCCCCGGCCGGCGGGCGGGCUGUGGGAGGCCGGCCGCGGGGCUCCGGGCUGGUGCGCUCGCGGGGGCAGGCCGGAGCAGGGGUUCCCCAGGGGCGCCUCGGCCUUCCUGCCUCGGCCUUCCUGCCUCGGCCUUCCUUCCUGCCUCGGCCUUCCUUCCUGCCUCGGCCUUCCUUCCUGCCCGGCCUUCCUGCCUCGGCCUUCCUGCCCGGCCUUCCUGUCGGGCUUCCUGCGAGCCAGCCUGCGUCCCGCCCGCGCGAAGUACGCGGCUUUCAGCGCCGUGCCCUGCUGCGCGGGGCCCGCCGCCCGGGCUGAGCUUCCCAGACCGCGGGAAGGAGCCCCGCCCCCGCGAGCGGCUCUCCGCGGAUACCCGUGCACAGCGACGGAAGCUGACUACCGCGAUGACCUUGGAACAGCUCGGCUGUGCGGUUCUGGUAAGAAUAAGGCUUACUUCGGCCUGUGCAAUGGUGAGGAAGUGGUGUAUUCCCUGCACUUGAGCACAGGUGUAAAAGGUGCCCUGUGGUUCCGGCCUGAGACUGACGCAUCCUGCCCUGAAGAUGUCCCUUCAGCCAACAUCCUUGAGUGAAGCGCUGGGGAGAGACUGUAACCAAGCUGUGCUGUGAGCGACUAGCAGACCUUCACUUUCAGGCCACUGUGAUUUUGGGGGAGAAUCGUUUCACAACGUAAGGUAGGGGGAGCAAACUAAUACGGCAUAAUCUUAAAAAUGAUUUGCUAUCGACACCUAGAAAGUGGUUAUUAGUUAAAUUACGAGACACAUUUUUAGAUUCAUAAACUGCUAGGAAGGAGGGGAAAUGAUCUCUAAAUGAAGGGGUUGCUAAAACAAAACUAUUGAUGUUCUGAUGCUACACAUAGUACUAAAAAAAGGGAAAUGCAACAGAUGAACCUAAGACAUGUAGAGAAGAAAGUAGGUUAUUUCUUAGACGCAAGCAAGAAAAAGGGAAAUAUUAAAAAUAAAAGCAGAAUUGAGACCCAGCUAUUUGUUUUUUAGGUAUCUUCCCAGAAGAGUUAAAGACAUUAUUUUAUAGUGAUACGUGCAUUUCCAUGUUUAUAGCAACACAGUUCAUAAUAGCUAAAUCUUGGAAGUGGCCUACAUGUUUAUUAAUAGAUGAACAGAGAAAAAAAU
ensembl:lincRNA